CUAAGCUUGAUGACGCCAGCAACCUGUCUGACAGAUGUAAAUCUUGUAGUAGCUGUGCACGGCGAGCUUGAGCGGGGAGUUCUUUGGCGUGAGUGAGCAGGAGUAAGUAUUCUGAUUAAUUAUUUUGUAUAGUAUUUUAAAAUGUAACGCCAGUACGCCAUAUUAAGUUAAUUGCCUGCGAGCUUCUCCUCCUGUCUGUACGGUAAUGCGACAGAGAGUCGAGUGGUUAUGACGCAAUCGUUAGCCUAUUUUUACAAAAACUGUUUCUACGGGGCCAUAAUGUAACAUAGAAGGUAAUGGAGCCCUUUAUACAUUGUCGUGUAUCUUUAGAAAUAAAUAAUGGACAAAUGGAGUCUUUAAACGCCUCAGAUGUAAAGUUAUUCGCUGUCAAAGUGACGCCAAAAUGAAUGGGAGUCAAUGGGAAUGCUAACGCAAGUGAAGUUCUGCUACAAGAUGGCGGCACGCUGCCAACUUCAACUUCCGGUCGACUUCCUUGCCGCCUGG